rnacentral:misc_RNA from 1 species
UAGCAGAGGCACAUUCAUCUGAUAUUGAGAGGAUUGAGUUUAGAGAUGCUGUUAAAGGUCGUAGUGUUGCAAACAAUACUUGUCGUGAUGUGUGGACAGAGUACCAUGAAAUGGGAUAUGGAGGUAUUAAAGCUGUUGCAGAAUAUAAGCUUUAUACUGCUGGAUCUAUUCUAGAUCUGCUUCAUUUUGUUGCCCCAAAAAUGAUGGAGCGUGGUAGUGCUCAUUUCUCUUAUGGAAUUGCUGACAAUUUGGAUGAUCCAAAGUACAAACACUACAAAUAUUGGUCAAACCCCCUGGAGACAAGGUUACCCAAUGCCCCAGAAAUGGAAAUCU